GUAGGUGGCAAGCGUUGUCCGGAAUUAUUGGGCGUAAAGCGCGCGCAGGCGGUCCUUUAAGUCUGAUGUGAAAGCCCACGGCUCAACCGUGGGGGGUCAUUGGAAACUGGGGGACUUGAGUACAGAAGAGGAAAGCGGAAUUCCAAGUGUAGCGGUGAAAUGCGUAGAGAUUUGGAGGAACACCAGUGGCGAAGGCGGCUUUCUGGUCUGUAACUGACGCUGAGGCGCGAAAGCGUGGGGAGCAAACAGGAUUAGAUACCCUGGUAGUCCACGCCGUAAACGAUGAGUGCUAAGUGUUAGGGGGUUUCCCGCCCCCCUUAGUGCUGCAGCUAACGCAUUAAGCACUCCGCCUGGGGGAGUACGGCCGCAAGGCUG
rnacentral:rRNA from 1 species